rnacentral:rRNA from 1 species
GACGAACCGUCCAAACGUUAUUCGGAAUUACUGGGCUUAAAGGGCUCGUAGGCGGCCUGUUGCGUCUGCCGUGAAAGCCCGGGGCUUAACUCCGGGUCUGCGGUGGAUACGGGCAGGCUAGAGUUCGGUAGGGGAGACUGGAAUUCCUGGUGUAGCGGUGAAAUGCGCAGAUAUCAGGAGGAACACCGGUGGCGAAGGCGGGUCUCUGGGCCGACACUGACGCUGAGGAGCGAAAGCGUGGGGAGCGAACAGGAUUAGAUACCCCUGUAGUCCCUGAGCGGG